rnacentral:rRNA from 1 species
UACGUAGGGUGCGAGCGUUAAUCGGAAUUACUGGGCGUAAAGCGUGCGCAGGCGGUUCGUCGUGUCCGAUGUGAAAGCCCCGGGCUCAACCUGGGAAUGGCAUUGGAAACUGGCGGACUCGAGUGUGGCAGAGGGGGUGGAAUUCCGCGUGUAGCAGUGAAAUGCGUAGAGAUGCGGAGGAACACCGAUGGCGAAGGCGGGUCUCUGGGCCGAUACGUGACGCUGGAGGAGCGAAAGCGUGGGGAGCGAACAGG